rnacentral:rRNA from 1 species
UGGUCAAGUUAUUAAGGGUGCAGGGUGGAUGCCUUGGCACUAGGAGCCGAUGAAGGACGUGAUAAGCUGCGAUAAGCUUCGGGGAGUUGCACGUAAACUUUGAUCCGAAGAUUUCCGAAUGAGGAAACUCACUUAGAGUAAUGUCUAAGUAUCAUUAAGUGAAUACAUAGCUUAAUGAGGGGAACUCAGGGAACUGAAACAUCUAAGUACCUGAAGGAAGAGAAAGAAAUUCGAUUCCGUAAGUAGCGGCGAGCGAACGCGGAUUAGCCCAAACCAAUAAAGUUUUCUUUAUUGGGGUUGCGGACAUAUCAUAACGAAGAGGUAUCGUAAUUGAAGAGGUUUGGAAAGACCCACCACAGAAGGUAAUAGUCCUGUAUGUUAAACGAGAAGACUUCAGAUAUGAUCCAGAGUACCACGGGACACGUGAAACCCUGUGGGAAGCAGGAGGGACCACCCUCCAAGGCUAAAUACUACCUAGUGACCGAUAGCGUAUAGUACCGUGAGGGAAAGGUGAAAAGAACCCCGGGAGGGGAGUGAAAUAGAACCUG